CAAUGUAUCUGUUGCUGAGCUAGUGAUACCGGGGGCUGACCUUUCAUAGCACUUGAGGUGUGUUAUUUUGCAAAACGUAGAUAUGUUGGAUCCCUAGUGUUUAUUUGACAUAUCGUUUUAUAAUUUGAAAUUGAUAGUCAUUUUGCUUGUUGGUUUUUAUUUUCCUUCUAAUUUUUCCUCAAGUGAAGAAUCACUAUUGUGGUAAAACCAACAAAUCCAGAAGAGUAACCUGGCCCAUUUUAACAUUUAGCUCCCAUUUCUACCUCGAAUAGUAAAGAUUUAUGGUAAAUAACUGUGAAAUAUGUACUAAAAGAGUAUUCAAGUAGAUUUUCUCUGUUUUCUCAUGUUUAUCAAAUGAUUCUUUCAGUUUUUCCAAAUAUCAAGUAAAAUCUUGCAGAAUGUUGAAUGCCUCAAUCAUGAGUGGUGCUUAAAAAACUUAUAUUUUAGAAAAUGCUGAUUCAACGGGUUCAGAAAACCAUUCAAAGCCUUUGGGCCUGGUAACAUGGUCUUCUCCUGUAGUGCAAGUAGUUUCUUUGGUCCUGGGUUGAAGUUUCACUAAUGAUUAAUGAAGGGGCUUUUAAGGAAGUAGGGAGUACCUGACGUGUAUUUGGGCAUAUGGAAAGAAUGAGAGAUAUGUUUCUGAAGACAUUUACACUGCAGGGCAUGAGGCCUCAAGAACUGGUAGCAUGAAAUUUCUUAUGAAUGGAUGUCUACUCUUAGCUACAGCUGAUGGUUCAACAGUUGAAAUUAUUGAAGAAAUUGGGGCAGAAAAUAUGGUACUAUUAUUAUUCUUGUAAUUUUGAAUACCUCUGUUUAUCAUCAAAAAUAUGAUGUCAUGGGUUGAGCAGAGAAAAAAUUCAUUCAGAAAUAUUCAAUAGUCAUUUCAAGAUGGUUGAAGCACUAAGCAUGAUGUCUGAUUAUUUUCCUAUAAGAUGUGAUUGCUUUUCCUGUCCAUGCAUUGUUCACCCAAUAUUGGUUGUGUGGGGACAGAUUUCUGAGUAGAGUUCUUCUGUUUCUUUUUCCAGUUUUUGUUUGGUGCAAAGCUGGAUGAAGUUCCAAUCUUGCGUGAGAGAGGACCCAACAGGAAAGUGAAUCUGCAAUUUGCACGGGUUGUGAGGUAGUACCUGUUUU